UACGUAGGGGGCUAGCGUUGUCCGGAUUUAUUGGGCGUAAAGAGCGUGUAGGCGGCCAGGUAGGUCUGCUGUGAAAACUCGAGGCUCAACCUCGAGACGUCGGCGGAAACCAUCUGGCUAGAGUCCGGAAGAGGAGAGUGGAAUUCCUGGUGUAGCGGUGAAAUGCGCAGAUAUCAGGAGGAACACCAAUGGCGAAGGCAGCUCGCUGGGACGGUACUGACGCUGAGACGCGAAAGCGUGGGGAGCGAACAGG
rnacentral:rRNA from 1 species